GGCAAUAGCUCAAAUUUGAAAUCUGGCCUUCGGGUCCGAGUUGUAAUUUGUAGAGGAUGCUUUUGGUGCGGUGCCUUCCGAGUUCCCUGGAACGGGACGCCUUAGAGGGUGAGAGCCCCGUACGGUUGGACACCAAGCCUCUGUAAAGCUCCUUCGACGAGUCGAGUAGUUUGGGAAUGCUGCUCUAAAUGGGAGGUAAAUUUCUUCUAAAGCUAAAUAUUGGCCAGAGACCGAUAGCGCACAAGUAGAGUGAUCGAAAGAUGAAAAGCACUUUGAAAAGAGGGUUAAAUAGCACGUGAAAUUGUUGAAAGGGAAGCGUUUGCGACCAGACCUUUUCCUGGCGGAUCAUCCGGUGUUCUCACCGGUGCACUUCGCCAGGUUUAGGCCAGCAUCGGUUUCCGCAGAGGGAUAAAAGCUCUGGGAACGUAGCUCCUCCGGGAGUGUUAUAGCCCUCUGCAUAAUACCUUUGUGGGGACCGAGGACCGCGCUUCGGCAAGGAUGCUGGCGUAAUGGUCGUCAACGACCCGUCUUGAAACACGGACCAAGGAGUCGAACAUUUGUGCGAGUGUUUGGGUGUUAAACCCUCACGCGUAAUGAAAGUGAACGGAGGUGAGAGCCUUUACGGGUGCAUCAUCGACCGAUCCUGAUGUCUUCGGAUGGAUUUGAGUAAGAGCAUAACUGUUCGGACCCGAAAGAUGGUGAACUAUGCGUGGAUAGGGUGAAGCCAGAGGAAACUCUGGUGGAGGCUCGCAGCGGUUCUGACGUGCAAAUCGAUCGUCAAAUCUGCGCAUGGGGGCGAAAGACUUAUCGAACCAUCUAGUAGCUGGUUACCGCCGAAGUUUCCCUCAGGAUAGCAGUGUUGUUCUUCAGUUUUAUGAGGUAAAGCGAAUGAUUAGGGACUCGGGGGCGCUUUUUAGCCUUCAUCCAUUCUCAAACUUUAAAUAUGUAAGAAGCCCUUGUUACUUAGUUGAACGUGGGCAUUCGAAUGUACCAACACUAGUGGGCCAUUUUUGGUAAGCAGAACUGGCGAUGCGGGAUGAACCGAACGCGGGGUUAAGGUGCCGGAGUGGACGCUCAUCAGACACCACAAAAGGUGUUAGCACAUUUAGACAAUAGGACGGUGGCCAUGGAAGUCGGAAUCCGCUAAGGACUGUGUAACAACUCACCUAUCGAAUGUGCUAGCCCUGAAAAUGGAUGGCGCUCAAGCGUCCCACCCAUACCUCGCCCUCAGGGUAGAAACGAUGCCCUGAGGAGUAGGCGGCCG
rnacentral:rRNA from 1 species